rnacentral:miRNA from 1 species
CUCGCUCGGCCUCGCUCGGA